CACUGACAAUCUUCAUCGAAUAUCUGCGCGAGUACCUACCAUUUUCUGAGAUAUCAAAGUUUUUAAGUUUUCAUGGUAAACCUACCUUCAAUGAGAAGCUCUAUAGGAAACUAAAUUCCUUAACUCUUUCUUAAAUUAAGGUGAAGACAGUUUUAAGCUUUGAACACUGCGACCAAAUCCAAUUCAUGUGGUGAAAGCAAGCAAUGCUACAACAUCCGAACAAAAUAUUCCCCAAAAAUAAACCCUCAAAUAUUACAAAUCGGAGAAAAAA